GAGCGGUAUAUAGUGGAAUGAAACUUCGGUCGAAUAAAGCUAUAGAGAGCGGCGGACGGGUGAGUAACGCGUAGGCAACCUGCCCCAUACAGAGGGAUAGCCUCGGGAAACCGGGAUUAAAACCUCAUAACGCGAGGAGUUCACAUGGACUUCUCGCCAAAGAUUCAUCGGUAUGGGAUGGGCCUGCGUCUGAUUAGCUAGUUGGUGAGGUAACGGCUCACCAAGGCGACGAUCAGUAGCCGACCUGAGAGGGUAAUCGGCCACAUUGGAACUGAGACACGGUCCAAACUCCUACGGGAGGCAGCAGUGGGGAAUAUUGCACAAUGGGCGAAAGCCUGAUGCAGCAACGCCGCGUGAGCGAUGAAGGCCUUUGGGUCGUAAAGCUCUGUCCUUGGGGAAGAAACAAAUGACGGUACCCUUGGAGGAAGCCCCGGCUAACUACGUGCCAGCAGCCGCGGUAAUACGUAGGGGGCGAGCGUUAUCCGGAAUUAUUGGGCGUAAAGAGUGCGUAGGUGGCCAUGUAAGCGCGGGGUGAAAGGCAAUAGCUUAACUAUUGUAAGCCUUGCGAACUGUAUGGCUUGAGUGCAGGAGAGGAAAGUGGAAUUCCUAGUGUAGCGGUGAAAUGCGUAGAUAUUAGGAGGAACACCAGUGGCGAAGGCGACUUUCUGGACUGUAACUGACACUGAGGCACGAAAGCGUGGGGAGCAAACAGGAUUAGAUACCCUGGUAGUCCACGCCGUAAACGAUGAGCACUAGGUGUCGGGGUCGCAAGACUU
rnacentral:rRNA from 1 species